GUGCCAGCAGCCGCGGUAAUACGGAGGGGGCUAGCGUUGUUCGGAAUUACUGGGCGUAAAGCGCACGUAGGCGGACGGUCAAGUUGGGGGUGAAAGCCCGAGGCUCAACCUCGGAAUUGCCUUCAAAACUGAUCGUCUCGAGGCCGGGAGAGGGCAGUGGAAUUCCCAGUGUAGAGGUGGAAUUCGUAGAUAUUGGGAAGAACACCGGUGGCGAAGGCGGCUGCCUGGCCCGGACCUGACGCUGAGGUGCGAAAGCGUGGGGAGCGAACAGGAUUAGAUACCCUGGUAGUCCACGCCGUAAACGAUGGGUGCUAGGUGUCGGAGGACUGAGUUCUUCGGUGCCCAGCUAACGCGUUAAGCACCCCGCCUGGGGAGUACGGCCGCAAGGCUAAAACUCAAAUGAAUUGACGGGG
rnacentral:rRNA from 1 species